rnacentral:rRNA from 1 species
AUUGAACGCUGGCGGAAUGCUUUACACAUGCAAGUCGAACGGCAGCACGGGGGCAACCCUGGUGGCGAGUGGCGAACGGGUGAGUAAUACAUCGGAACGUGCCCAGUCGUGGGGGAUAACGUAGCGAAAGCUACGCUAAUACCGCAUACGAACUCUGGUUGAAAGGGGGGAUCGCAAGACCUCGCGCGAUUGGAGCGGCCGAUGGCAGAUGAGGUAGUUGGGGGGGUAAAGGCAUACAAAGCCGACGAUCUGUAGCUGGUCUGAGAGGACGACCAGCCACACUGGGACUGAGACACGGCCCAGACUCCUACGGGAGGCAGCAGUGGGGAAUUUUGGACAAUGGGCGCAAGCCUGAUCCAGCCAUUCCGCGUGCAGGAUGAAGGCCCUCGGGUUGUAAACUGCUUUUGUACGGAACGAAACGGCGACCGCUAAUACCGGUUGCUAAUGACGGUACCGUAAGAAUAAGCACCGGCUAACUACGUGCCAGCAGCCGCAGUAA